rnacentral:lncRNA from 1 species
UUAGGAAGGAGGAAGAUUUUUAUGGGGUUUGAGCUUGUUCUGGGUGAUUCUAAAAAAAGGGAAGUGAGGAUCAGCUCUGAAUUGGUACAUUCCUAAAGGAAUUUCACAGCUACAGUGUGGCCUUGGAAGAAAGUUCUUUUUACGUUGGCUUUGCCAGUGGCCUGUCUGCUACAGUCUGGUUAUCAACAGGGCUGAUUUUUCUCUUGCCAAUUCUGGAUGGAUUUUACUCUUUCAGAUGUAUCACAAGGAAAGUUUGAAAAAGAAGACAAAAAUUACAACAUUUUCAGAAAAUGAAGACAAGAGGAACACCAUGUAUCACAACAUAUUUAUGCCAAAUUUUCUUAGCCUUUCCCAUGAUGCUGCAGAAGGCACAAAAAUAACUGGAUAGCUGAAUUUCACCCUCAGAAUAAAUGGAUUCUCCAUCUUAAAUGAUCA